rnacentral:rRNA from 1 species
AUUGAACGCUGGCGGCAUGCCUUACACAUGCAAGGUCGAACGGCAGCACGGGAGCAAUCCUGGUGGCGAGUGGCGAACGGGUGAGUAAUAUAUCGGAACGUGCCCAGUCGUGGGGGAUAACGUAGCGAAAGCUACGCUAAUACCGCAUACGAUCUAUGGAUGAAAGCGGGGGAUCGCAAGACCUCGCGCGAUUGGAGCGGCCGAUAUCAGAUUAAGUAGUUGGUGAGGUAAAGGCUCACCAAGCCGACGAUCUGUAGCUGGUCUGAGAGGACGGCCAGCCACACUGGGACUGAGACACGGCCCAGACUCCUACGGGAGGCAGCAGUGGGGAAUUUUGGACAAUGGGCGCAAGCCUGAUCCAGCAAUGCCGCGUGCAGGAUGAAGGCCUUCGGGUUGUAAACUGCUUUUGUACGGAACGAAACGGUGAGCUCUAAUACAGUUUGCUAAUGACGGUACCGUAAGAAUAAGCACCGGCUAACUACGUG